UACGGAGGGUGCAAGCGUUAUCCGGAUUCACUGGGUUUAAAGGGUGUGUAGGCGGGCGUUUAAGUCAGUGGUGAAAUCUCCGAGCUUAACUUGGAAACUGCCAUUGAUACUAUUCGUUCUUGAAUUCUGUUGAGGUGGGCGGAAUAUGUCAUGUAGCGGUGAAAUGCAUAGAUAUGACAUAGAACACCGAUUGCGAAGGCAGCUCACUAAGCAGAACAUUGACGCUGAGGCACGAAAGCGUGGGGAUCAAACAGG
rnacentral:rRNA from 1 species